UUCCUCCGUAACAGCGAGUGAAGAUGGAAUAGGUCAACUUGGAAUUUGGGGGGGUUGCCCCUCUGAAAUGCAUGUCUGAAUGUGUUGCCAAUGGAGGCGCAAAUGUGAGCCUUUUUUGGAAAAAAACCCAGAACUAGCCAGCUUCAAUAAGGGGGAAAAUCCCAGGGGGCACUUGGGGACCUCUGUUUACGGUGUAGGUUUGCAGAAUCACGCUCCUUGGAACUGGAGUGCAAAGUGGGUGGUAAAUCUCAUGCAAAGGUGAAUACAUCUUUGGGACUGAUAGAGGAAAAGUACCGCGAGGGAACUAUGAAAAGGACUUUGAAAAGAGAAUUAAAGAGAGCCUGCGCUUGCUGCAUGAAAAGCAUACAGAACAGCAAAAGGUUUUGAAAGAUUGCUGCAUGGUUGUGUGAACGACCCAUGCCCUUGUGAAGAUGGAGCUGUUGUGGUCUGCAUGUGUGUUGUGUGUGGAGGUUCUUUCUUUACGUGCCAGUUCCAGUUGCCAGAGAUAAAUCCUGGAUGUAUUGUGAUGUGUGCCCCUUGGUUUGUCAUUGUGCGUACGUGAUGAUGUGUAAAUUGCGGAGGAGCUGGAUCCUGGUGGAGUUGCUGAAGGCUGCCCACGCCCCCUUGUUGGAGGACUCUGCAGAAAUCCUGGUCCAACCCUCUGACUAGCCACUUCUGUGUGACCCGUCUUGAAACACGGACCAAGGAGUCUAACAAGUUUGCAAGUUGAUGAGUGUGCAGAUUGAAUGUUGAAUGAAAGUGUCAGCCCAGAUUUGUGCAUGUGCGUUCAACCAAUCGCUUGAGCAUGGUUUGAGUCUAAGCAUCUGUGUUAGGACCCGAAAGAUGGUGAACUAUGCCCGAAUAGGGCCAAGUCAGGGGAAACUCUGAUGGAGGCUUGCAGUGGUACUGACGUGCAAAUCGUUCGUCACACUUGGGUACAGGGGCGAAAGACUAAUCGAACCAUCUAGUAGCUGGUUCCCUCCGAAGUUUCCCUCAGGAUAGCUGGAGUUAAACAGUUUUGUCAGGUAAAGCGAAUGACUGGAGGAAUCGGAGAUGAAUUGUUUCUGACCUAUUCUCAAACUUCAAAUGGGCAAGCUGCAGCAGUUGCACAGCAGAAUUCUGCAGAAGAAUGGUAUCUUCAAGUGGGCCAAUUUUGGUAAGCAGAACUGGUGAUGAGGGAUGAACCUUGUGGUGGGUUAAGGCACUGAAAUCCUCGCUCAUCAGAUGCCAGAAAGGGUGUUGGCUCAUUUUAACAGCAGGACGGUGG
rnacentral:rRNA from 1 species